GGUUAAGUGACUAAGCGUACACGGUGGAUGCCUUGGCAGUCAGAGGCGAUGAAAGACGUAGUAACUUGCGAUAAGCCCAGAUUAGGUAGUAACAACCAUUUGAGUCUGGGAUUUCUGAAUGGGGAAACCCACGUGCAUAAGCACGUAUCCUUACCUGAAUACAUAGGGUAAGGAGGCGAACCGGGGGAACUGAAACAUCUAAGUACCCCGAGGAAAAGAAAUCAACCGAGAUUCCGAAAGUAGCGGCGAGCGAAAUUGGACUAGCCCUUAAGCUUUACACGCGUUAGACGAACGGUCUGGAAAGUCCGACGAUACAGGGUGAUAGUCCCGUAGUUGACGACGUGUGUUCAGUGAAAUCGAGUAGGGCGGGACACGUGAUAUCCUGUCUGAAUAUGGGGGGACCAUCCUCCAAGGCUAAAUACUACUGACUGACCGAUAGUGAACCAGUACCGUGAGGGAAAGGCGAAAAGAACCCCUGUGAGGGGAGUGAAAUAGAACCUGAAACCGUGUACGUACAAGCAGUAGGAGCAGGCUUGUCCUGUGACUGCGUACCUUUUGUAUAAUGGGUCAGCGACUUAUAUUCAGUGGCAAGGUUAACCAUCUAGGGGAGCCGUAGGGAAACCGAGUCUUAACUGGGCGUUCAGUCUCUGGAUAUAGACCCGAAACCAGGUGAUCUAGCCAUGGGCAGGUUGAAGGUUGAGUAACAUCAACUGGAGGACCGAACCGACUAAUGUUGAAAAAUUAGCGGAUGACUUGUGGCUAGGGGUGAAAGGCCAAUCAAACCUGGAGAUAGCUGGUUCUCCCCGAAAGCUAUUUAGGUAGCGCCUCGGACGAAUACUACUGGGGGUAGAGCACUGUUAAGGCUAGGGGGUCAUCCCGACUUACCAACCCUUUGCAAACUCCGAAUACCAGUAAGUACUAUCCGGGAGACACACGGCGGGUGCUAACGUCCGUCGUGGAGAGGGAAACAACCCAGACCGCCAGCUAAGGUCCCAAAUUACUACUAAGUGGGAAACGAUGUGGGAAGGCUCAGACAGCCAGGAUGUUGGCUUAGAAGCAGCCAUCAUUUAAAGAAAGCGUAAUAGCUCACUGGUCGAGUCGGCCUGCGCGGAAGAUGUAACGGGGCUAAGUAGUAAACCGAAGCUGCGGCAAUAUACUUUUGUAUAUUGGGUAGGGGAGCGUUCUGUAAGCGGUUGAAGGUGUGUGGUAACGCAUGCUGGACGUAUCAGAAGUGCGAAUGCUGACAUGAGUAACGAUAAAGGGGGUGAAAAACCUCCUCGCCGGAAGACCAAGGGUUCCUGUCCAACGUUAAUCGGGGCAGGGUAAGUCGACCCCUAAGGCGAGGCCGAAAGGCGUAGUCGAUGGGAAACGGGUUAAUAUUCCCGUACUUCUUACAAUUGCGAUGGGGGGACGGAGAAGGCUAGGUGGGCCUGGCGACGGUUGUCCAGGUUCAAGUGCGUAGGCUUAAGAGUUAGGUAAAUCCGGCUCUUUUUAAGGCUGAGACACGACGUCGAGCACCUACGGGUGUGAAGUCAUUGAUGCCAUGCUUCCAGGAAAAGCCUCUAAGCUUCAGAUUGUAAGGAAUCGUACCCCAAACCGACACAGGUGGUCGGGUAGAGAAUACCAAGGCGCUUGAGAGAACUCGGGUGAAGGAACUAGGCAAAAUGGUACCGUAACUUCGGGAGAAGGUACGCUCUUGAUGGUGAAGUCCCUCGCGGAUGGAGCUAUUGAGAGUCGCAGAUACCAGGUGGCUGCAACUGUUUAUUAAAAACACAGCACUGUGCAAAAUCGUAAGAUGACGUAUACGGUGUGACGCCUGCCCGGUGCCGGAAGGUUAAUUGAUGGGGUUAGACUUCGGUCGAAGCUCUUGAUCGAAGCCCCGGUAAACGGCGGCCGUAACUAUAACGGUCCUAAGGUAGCGAAAUUCCUUGUCGGGUAAGUUCCGACCUGCACGAAUGGCGUAAUGAUGGCCACGCUGUCUCCACCCGAGACUCAGUGAAAUUGAAAUCGCUGUGAAGAUGCAGUGUACCCGCGGCUAGACGGAAAGACCCCGUGAACCUUUACUACAGCUUGGCACUGAACAUUGACCCUACAUGUGUAGGAUAGGUGGGAGGCUUUGAAGCACGUACGCCAGUAUGUGUGGAGCCGUCCUUGAAAUACCACCCUUGUAGUGUUGAUGUUCUAACGUCGACCCCUUAUCGGGGUUGCGGACAGUGCCUGGUGGGUAGUUUGACUGGGGCGGUCUCCUCCCAAAGAGUAACGGAGGAGCACGAAGGUGGGCUAAUCACGGUUGGACAUCGUGAGGUUAGUGCAAUGGCAUAAGCCCGCUUGACUGCGAGAAUGACAAUUCGAGCAGGUGCGAAAGCAGGUCAUAGUGAUCCGGUGGUUCUGAAUGGAAGGGCCAUCGCUCAACGGAUAAAAGGUACUCCGGGGAUAACAGGCUGAUACCGCCCAAGAGUUCAUAUCGACGGCGGUGUUUGGCACCUCGAUGUCGGCUCAUCACAUCCUGGGGCUGAAGUCGGUCCCAAGGGUAUGGCUGUUCGCCAUUUAAAGUGGUACGCGAGCUGGGUUUAGAACGUCGUGAGACAGUUCGGUCCCUAUCUGCCGUGGGCGUUGGAAGAUUGAAGGGGGCUGCUCCUAGUACGAGAGGACCGGAGUGGACGAACCUCUGGUGUUCGGGUUGUGUCGCCAGACGCAUUGCCCGGUAGCUAAGUUCGGAAUCGAUAACCGCUGAAAGCAUCUAAGCGGGAAGCGAGCCCUGAGAUGAGUCUUCCCUGAUACUUUAAGUAUCCUAAAGGGUUGUCGGAGACUACGACGUUGAUAGGUCAGGUGUGUAAGUGCUGUGAGGCAUUGAGCUAACUGAUACUAAUUGCCCGUGAGGCUUAACCAU
rnacentral:rRNA from 1 species